rnacentral:RNase_P_RNA from 1 species
AUCGCAGACCGCCUUAUCGUCGUUCCGAUUCAUCGGGAGGGAGGAAAGUCCGGACACCAUAGAGAAGCAUAACGGGUAACACCCGUCGGUUCGGGAAACCGGAUUAGGACAAGUGCAACAGAAAGUAUGUACAGGUAAUGCUGUAGUGAAACCAGGUAAACUCUAUGCGGUGAAAUAUCAAGUAUAUCAGCAUUUAAGGGUUUCUCGUCCGUUGCUGAAGGGUAGAUAGCUUGAGUCUUGGAGUAAUUCAAGAUCUAGAUAAAUGAUAAGGUAUCGUUAGCAAUAGCGAGAACAGAAUCCGGCUUAUAGGUCUGCUUUUUUU